rnacentral:hammerhead_ribozyme from 1 species
ACACUACUGAAGAGUCCAACAAUAGGAUGAAACGAUCGUUCAGUGC